AUGUUACCUAACUGUGUCUUCCUUCUCUGCAUCCCCCAGCAAAGCCUUAGCAGCAGCCUCUCAGUAGAGCAAUUUACCAAACCCCCAAUCCGAAGACAUUUCUCUCUGUCCUCUCUUUGUGCCUCUCCCUCUGCGGGUGCAUCUCUGUCCAUUUCUCCUUCUCUGUGUCUCUGUCUCUCUCUCCCUCUCCCUUUCUCACUGGGUCUCCUCCCCCUUCUGUCUCUCCCCCACUUUGUGUCUCUCUGUGUCUCUCCCUCUCUCCUUCUCUCUCCUUCUCCCUUGGUCUACCUCCCCCCUCCCCCCACGUCUCUCUUUCCCCUUCCUUGUGUCUCUGUCUCUCUCCUUUUCCCUCUCUCUCUCUUUCCCCUUCCUUGUGUCUCUGUCUCUCUCCUUCUCUCUCCUUUCCCCCUUUUCUCUGUCUCUCUUUCUCCCUCCUUGUAUCUCUCUGUCUCUGUCUCUCUCUCCUUUUCCCCCUCUCUCUGUCUCUCCCCCUCCUUGUGUCUCUGUCUCUCUGUCUCUCUCUCUCUCCCUCUCCCUCUCCCUCUCUGUUUUUCUCCCUCCCUCUUGUCUCUCCUUCUUUCUGUCUCUGAACACUAUCUUUGGUCUCUCCCUGUGUCUCUCUAUCUCUGUAUCUUUCUCUGUCUCCCUCUCUCCCUCCCUUUCUUCCACUCUCUCUCUCUCUCUGCCUCUCUGACUCUUUUCCUUCCUCUAUCCCUCCAUGUCUGCCUCUCUCCCUCUUGUCUUCUCUUUCUGUCUCGGUAUCUCUCCCUCUCUCCUUCUUCCUCUGCUUCUUCUCCCUCUCCCUCUCCCUCUCUCCCUUUCUCUCUGUGUGUCUCUGUCUCUAUGUCUGUCUGUCUGUCUGUCUAUCUCUCUCUCCAAUAAGUACUUUGACAACCUGUGAACUCCACAGAUCCCAAGAUUCUUGAGAACAGAGACAUAUUAAAGGGCAGUUGUCCAUGGUGAUCCGGCCUCCCCACUGCUGAAAACAUGGAAACAAUCACCUUGUUAAUUUGGGCAGAUUGGAAUGUGCCCCCCACCCCCAUCCAAACGGAAAUAGUAAAAUGUCAACGUCCCCUCAGUGUCCGGCUGCACCUGGCCGCCCUAAUUGCCUUCAGCCCCGUCAUUCCUUCAAGGCGAGGACUCUCCUUGCCACCAACGGCACUUAUUAAUGUGUAAUAGGAAUUUCCUUGUAAAAGCGAAUUAUUGGAAUGGUGUGAUGUCAUAAAGACGGAGGUGCUGACAUCUGAGAUUGCUUUAUAUGGGGACCCCGAGUUAUAAUUUAGGAGUUGAAUAUGCUUUGGGUGAUUAAUCACAAUCUGGCCCUGGGUAGCCAUGGGCUAGCUGUGCAGAGGAUGGAAAUUUGUGAGGCUUCGACGUGGUCCAGAAGACGAUGUUGGAGGAUGCAGGGAUGCAGGGAUGCAGGGGGAGGAGGUUGGUCUCUCCAUCGUCCUGGUGAUCAAUAGACAGUAUACCAAUGGAGCACACCUUGAGAAGAUCAAUGAAGUCCUCUCAUCCUCUUGCUUUGCUGAUUUCUAUAAAAACUCCCAAUUCUGAGCCUAUAAAAAUGCCUGUGGGCUCGACUCUUCCUUGGGUCGAAACCAGUAGGGAAGAUGAGGAAGGGAAUGCAUUAAUUUUGCUGGACCUCAAACUGGAAAUCUGUCAAUAUGGUUUUGGUGAUUCAUGGUUACAGACUUUCCACCUAGCUCGUAAAUAGAACGUGCCUUGAGUGCUGCCGGUUUGCAUAGUUAACGGUAUGUCAGCGCUUCCAUUGUAAGCCCCGGUUUUUUAAGGGGUUUAUAACAUGGUCAUAAAAAAUCACUUGGGGAUGAAACAUUAAAUAUGGGGUCUUAUUCUGGAAACUGAGCUGCUAAGGUGUAGAUGGGAGUCUCCCACUAACCCAUUUUUCGCUUUUUUGAAGAAAAAGAAAGCAGGCUUUUCUGUGUUUUCAGUAGCAAGCUCUAAAAAGGACAAACUGCUUAGUUUAUAAAAUGGUCAAAGGCCCUUCAUUAAUGCUGUUCUUUUUUCUUGAAUAAACUUUCCUCAUUGGAUAGCCCA
ensembl:lncRNA